rnacentral:rRNA from 1 species
AAUCAACGCUGGCGGCGUGCCUCAGACAUGCAAGUCGAACGAUUAAACUUUCCUUCGGGAAAGAUAUAAAGUGGCGCACGGGUGAGUAACACGUAAGUAAUCUACCUUCGAGUGGGGAAUAACGUUCGGUAACGGACGCUAAUACCGCAUAAUGCAGCGGCAUCGCAAGAUGACAGUUGUUAAAGGAUUUAUUCGCUUGA